GGACAUAGCUCAGUUGCAGAGUUUCUGAUUUGCACACAGAACAUCCCAAGUUCAAUCCCUGGCAUCUCCA